AUAAAGAAAGUGACAGAGUGGUAAUGUGACUGGCUUGAAACCAGUAUAUGGGGGUUCAAUUCCUUCCUUUCUUG
rnacentral:tRNA from 1 species